rnacentral:tRNA from 1 species
GGAGAGGUGGCUGAGUGGUCGAAAGCGGCUCACUGCUAAUGAGUUAUGGGGCCUUAAGCUCCAUCGAGGGUUCAAAUCCCUCCCUCUCCG